rnacentral:rRNA from 1 species
AAUGAACGUUGGCGGCAUGGAUUAGGCAUGCAAGUCGGGGGAAUCCCAGCAAUGGGGGAACCGGCGUAAGGGGCAGUAAGGCAUGGGUACCUACCUUGGGGUUCGGGAUAGCCAUCAGAGAUGGUGGGUAAUACCGGAUGACGUCGUGAGACCAAAGAUUUAUCGCCCUUAGAGGGGCCCAUGUGAUAUUAGCUAGUUGGUGGGGUAACGGCCCACCAAGGCGAAGAUGUCUAGCGGGUGUGAGAGCGCGACCCGCGCCACUCGCACUGAGACACUGGCGAGACACCUAGGGGUGGCUGCAGUCGAGGAUCUUCGGCAAUGAGCGCAAGCUUGACCGAGCGAUGCCGCGUGAGCGAUGAAGGCCUUCGGGUUGUAAAGCUCUUUAGUGGGGGAGAAAAGCCGCAAGGUGUGAUCUAUCCCAAAAAUAAGCACGGGCUAAGUUCGUGCCAGCCGCCGCGGUAA